rnacentral:rRNA from 1 species
AGCGAACGCUGGCGGUGGGCCUAACACAUGCAAGUCGAACGGCAGCACCGUAAGUGCUUGCGCUUACGGGUGGCGAGUGGCGGACGGGAGAGGAAUACAUCCGAACCUACUUUUUCGUGGAGGAUAACGUAGGUAAACUUACGCUAAUACCGCAUACGACCUACGAGUGAAAGCAGGGGAUCUUCGGGCCUUGCGCGAUUGAAUGAGCCGAUGUCGGGUUAGUUAGUUGGCGGGGUAAAGGCCCACCAAGGCGACGAUCCGUAGCUGGUCUGAGAGGAUGGUCAGCCACAGAGGAACUGAGACACGGUACAGAGUCCUACAGAAGGCCGAGGUGGGGAAUAUUGGAAGAUGUGCGGAAGCCUGCACCAGGCACAGCGCGUGGGUGAAGCAGGCCUGCGGGUUGUAAAGCCGUUUUGUUGGGAAAGAAAAGCAGCAGGUUAAUAGCCCGCUGUUCUGACGGUACCCGAAGAGUAAGCACCGGCUAACUUGGU